rnacentral:rRNA from 1 species
UACGAAGGGGGCGAGCGUUGUUCGGAUUUACUGGGCGUAAAGGGCGCGCAGGCGGUUCUGUGUGUCGCGUGUGAAAGCCCCGGGCUCAACCUGGGAACUGCGCUCGAAACGGCGGAACUAGAGUUCGGGAGAGGAGAGUGGAAUUCCCAGUGUAGAGGUGAAAUUCGUAGAUAUUGGGAAGAACACCAGUGGCGAAGGCGGCUCACUGGCCCGUAACUGACGCUGAGGUGCGAAAGCGUGGGGAGCAAACAGG